rnacentral:rRNA from 1 species
AUUGAACGCUGGCGGCAGGCCUAACACAUGCAAGUCGAGCGGAGCGGCGGACGGGUGAGUAAUGCCUAGGAAUCUGCCUGGUCGUGGGGGAUAACGUACGGACACGGGCGCUAAUACCGCAUACUAUCAGAUGAGCCAAGGUCGGAUUAGCUAGUUGGUGGGGUAAAGGCCUACCAAGGCGACGAUCCGUAACUGGUCUGAGUGGAUGAUCAGUCACACUGGAACUGAGACACGGUCCAGACUCCUACGGGGGGCAGCAGUGGGGAAUAUUGGACAAUGGGCGAAAGCCUGAUCCAGCCAUGCCGCGUGUGUGAAGAAGGUCUUCGGGUUGUAAAGCACUGUAAGUUGGGAGGCGGUACCAACAGAAUAAGCACCGGCUAACGUCGUGCCAGCAGCCGCGGUAAUUC